AUUGAACGCUGGCGGCGUGCCUAACACAUGCAAGUCGAGCGGUAACAGGUGUAGCAAUACAUGCUGACGAGCGGCGGACGGGUGAGUAACGCUUGGGAAUCUGCCUGUUAGUGGGGGACAACCCGGGGAAACUCGGGCUAAUACCGCAUACGCACUACGGUGGAAAGCCGGGGACCGCAAGGCCUGGCGCUAACAGAUGAGCCCAAGUCGGAUUAGCUAGUUGGUAGGGUAACGGCCUACCAAGGCGACGAUCCGUAACUGGUCUGAGAGGACGACCAGUCACACCGGAACUGAGACACGGUCCGGACUCCUACGGGAGGCAGCAGUGGGGAAUAUUGGACAAUGGGCGAAAGCCUGAUCCAGCGACGCCGCGUGGGUGAAGAAGGCCUGCGGGUUGUAAAGCCCUUUCGGUGGGGAAGAAAAGCCUCGAGUUAACACCUCGGGGUCUUGACGUAACCCAUAGAAGAAGCACCGGCUAACUCUGUGC
rnacentral:rRNA from 1 species